rnacentral:rRNA from 2 species
GUAGGUCCCGAGCGUUGUCCGGAUUUAUUGGGCGUAAAGCGAGCGCAGGCGGUUUAAUAAGUCUGAAGUUAAAGGCAGUGGCUUAACCAUUGUUCGCUUUGGAAACUGUUAGACUUGAGUGCAGAAGGGGAGAGUGGAAUUCCAUGUGUAGCGGUGAAAUGCGUAGAUAUAUGGAGGAACACCGGUGGCGAAAGCGGCUCUCUGGUCUGUAACUGACGCUGAGGCUCGAAAGCGUGGGGAGCAAACAGGAUUAGAUACCCUGGUAGUCCACGCCGUAAACGAUGAGUGCUAGGUGUUAGGCCCUUUCCGGGGCUUAGUGCCGCAGCUAACGCAUUAAGCACUCCGCCUGGGGAGUACGACCGCAAGGUUG